UGAAAAUCGGCACUUGGUAGGCUUGUGUUUGGCUUACGGGCUAACCCGGUACUACGGCGUUAGCUACCUAGCUAAUAUCUUACCGGGAUGCCCUUCUCCGACCGACUCCGAGGUGAACAAGAAGCAGUCCUCCUCAAUAAGGGAGUUAUGAAAACCGUUAAUUUGUCCGUUCAUCGUUUCUAUAGUUCUUUACGUAAAUACAAACGCUUUAGAAGUAUGAAAUGUAUCAACACAAUUACAACCGGUGCUUUAAGCUAAUGGGUCCGCUUUCUCGCUCUUUCUACCCUGCUGUGGUUCAUUCCAGGCAUUCACGCACUGGAUGGCGCAGCCUUCCACUAUUUAUUCUCGGUCGCGCAGACGUCACUGUGGACUCUACCAUAUCAAACGUGGGGGUGGAGGUUGGCCUAAAACAUGGACCAGGAUACUGGUUUGAUGCCCUCCAAUGAUAUGUGAUAUCCAUGGACAGUCGAUAUACAUGACAACACUCAAAAUGGACAUUGAUUGACACUUCAAAAGCAGAACCCAAGAGCAAGCACUAUGAAGAGUGACAAACAGUGCAGAGCAGCUCGCAAUAGCCUAAUAUUGUGUUGUGUCACGGGGCAGAUGGAUGAGCGAUCUAAGCUUCGUGGCUGAUGUACGUGGCUGGGUGUCUGUGUAGUGUGAGUUACAGCACAUGACAACCAGAGCUCUCUCAAACGUCUUUUACUUUAUCUACAAAACUGAUCUUUGGCCAAAUCUGUGCCAGUGAAAUCAAACACCAUCAUUGUAUUUUGUUGGAGGGAAAAUAAUAAACAAACGGA